CCUGAUGCAGCAACGCCGCGUGAGGGAUGACGGCCUUCGGGUUGUAAACCUCUUUUAGCAGGGAAGAAGCGAAAGUGACGGUACCUGCAGAAAAAGCGCCGGCUAACUACGUGCCAGCAGCCGCGGUAAUACGUAGGGCGCAAGCGUUAUCCGGAAUUAUUGGGCGUAAAGAGCUCGUAGGCGGUUUGUCGCGUCUGCUGUGAAAUCCCGAGGCUCAACCUCGGGCCUGCAGUGGGUACGGGCAGACUAGAGUGCGGUAGGGGAGAUUGGAAUUCCUGGUGUAGCGGUGGAAUGCGCAGAUAUCAGGAGGAACACCGAUGGCGAAGGCAGAUCUCUGGGCCGUAACUGACGCUGAGGAGCGAAAGGGUGGGGAGCAAACAGGCUUAGAUACCCUGGUAGUCCACCCCGUAAACGUUGGGAACUAGUUGUGGGGUCCAUUCCACGGAUUCCGUGACGCAGCUAACGCAUUAAGUUCCCCGCCUGGGGAGUACGGCCGCAAGGCUAAAACUCAAAGGAAUUGACGGGGACCCGCACAAGCGGCGGAGCAUGCGGAUUAAUUCGAUGCAACGCGAAGAACCUUACCAAGGCUUGACAUAUUCGAGAACGCCGUAGAAAUACGGAACUCUUUGGACACUCG
rnacentral:rRNA from 1 species